rnacentral:rRNA from 1 species
UACAGAGGUCUCGAGCGCUAGGCGGAAUCACUGGGCUUAAAGCGUGUGUAGGCGGAUCGUUAAGUACCUUGUGAAAUCCCACGGCUUAACCGUGGAACUGCUUGGUAUACUGGCGGUCUUGAGCCAGCUAGGGGCUACCGGAACAAAUGGUGGAGCGGUGAAAUGCGUAGAUAUCAGUCGGAACACCGGUGGCGAAGGCGGCUUCUUGGGCCGUUCCUGACGCUGAGGCGCGAAAGCGUGGGGAGCAAACAGG